UACGUAGGGAGCAAGCGUUGUCCGGAUUUACUGGGCGUAAAGGGCGCGUAGGCGGCCUGUUAAGUGUGAAGUGAAAUCCCCGAGCUCAACUCGGAAACUGCUUCGCAUACUGGCAGACUGGAGGAAGGUAGAGGUAAGUAGAAUUCCCGGUGUAACGGUGACAUGUAAAAAUAUCGGGAGGAAUACCAAUGGCGAAGGCAGCUUACUGGACCUUUCCUGACGCUGAGGCGCGAAAGCGUGGGUAGCAAACAGG
rnacentral:rRNA from 1 species